GACGAACGCUGGCGGCGUGCUUAACACAUGCAAGUCGAACGGAAAGGCCCUGCUUUUGUGGGGUGCUCGAGUGGCGAACGGGUGAGUAACACGUGAGUAACCUGCCCUUGACUUUGGGAUAACUUCAGGAAACUGGGGCUAAUACCGGAUAGGAGCUCCUGCUGCAUGGUGGGGGUUGGAAAGUUUCGGCGGUUGGGGAUGGACUCGCGGCUUAUCAGCUUGUUGGUGGGGUAGUGGCUUACCAAGGGUUUGACGGGUAGCCGGCCUGAGAGGGUGACCGGCGACAUUGGGACUAAGGGACGGCGCAGACGCCUACGGGAGGCAGCAGUGGGGAAUAUUACACAAUGGGCGGAAGCCUGAUGCAGCAGCGCCGCGUGCGGGAUGACGGCCUUCGGGUUGUAAACCGCUUUCGCCUGUGACGAAGCGUGAGUGACGGUAAUGGGUAAAGAAGCACCGGCUAACUACGUG
rnacentral:rRNA from 1 species